rnacentral:rRNA from 1 species
AUUGAACGCUGGCGGCAUGCUUUACACAUGCAAGUCGAACGGUAACAGGCCGCAAGGUGCUGACGAGUGGCGCACGGGUGAGUAAUGCAUCGGAACGUGCCCAGUCGUGGGGGAUAACUACUCGAAAGAGUAGCUAAUACCGCAUACGAUCUAUGGAUGAAAGCGGGGGACCGUAAGGCCUCGCGCGAUUGGAGCGGCCGAUGUCAGAUUAGGUAGUUGGUGGGGUAAAGGCUCACCAAGCCAACGAUCUGUAGCUGGUCUGAGAGGACGACCAGCCCCACUGGGACAGAGACACGGCCCAGACUCCUACGGGAGGCAGCAGUGGGGAAUUUUGGACAAUGGGCGCAAGCCUGAUCCAGCAAUGCCGCGUGCAGGAAGAAGGCCUUCGGGUUGUAAACUGCUUUUGUACGGAACGAAACGGCUCUGGUUAAUACCCGGGGCUAAUGACGGUACCGUAAGAAUAAGCACCGGCUAACUACGUG